GUGGGAACGUGCCCUUCUCUGCGGAAUAGCCACUGGAAACGGUGAGUAAUACCGCAUACGCCCUUCGGGGGAAAGAUUUAUCGGAGAAGGAUCGGCCCGCGUUAGAUUAGGUAGUUGGUGGGGUAAUGGCCUACCAAGCCUACGAUCUAUAGCUGGUUUGAGAGGAUGAUCAGCCACACUGGGACUGAGACACGGCCCAGACUCCUACGGGAGGCAGCAGUGGGGAAUCUUAGACAAUGGGCGCAAGCCUGAUCUAGCCAUGCCGCGUGAGUGAUGAAGGCCUUAGGGUCGUAAAGCUCUUUCGCUGGGGAAGAUAAUGACUGUACCCAGUAAAGAAACCCCGGCUAACUCCGUGCCAGCAGCCGCGGUAAUACGGAGGGGGUUAGCGUUGUUCGGAAUUACUGGGGCGUAAAGCGCGCGUAGGCGGAUCAGAAAGUUGGGGGUGAAAUCCCGGGGCUCAACCUCGGAACUGCCUCCAAAACUCCUGGUCUUGAGUUCGAGAGAGGUGAGUGGGAAUUCCGAGUGUAGAGGUGAAAUUCGUAGAUAU
rnacentral:rRNA from 1 species